GUUUCCAAAUGUUUUUUAGGUAAUUUUCAGUUCUCGAGCAUCAAGACCAUCGUGGUUUAAUCCUAACGAAGAAGAAAGGGAAAUCUGCCAACGCAAUGCAGGAAACCGUAAAUUAAUAGAUGUAAAGAAGGAUCGUUCCUUGUCUUGUCACGUGAUAUGCUAUUAUGAUGAUGAAUCUGAAGAAAUGCGCAAUUCACCAAAUGGGCAACUCUGCUGUGAUAUGGUAGGAGUUGGACCAACUGGGGUAUGCGAGGAUGGGAAAUGUCCGGUAGGUGGUAUGAUUACUGAAGCCACGUAGGUGGAAUGAAGAGAUGGUGUUCGAUUUGAAGACCUUUCGGUAAGAAUGUAUUAGCGGCAUAAAACAAUGGAUGGAUGUAUAAGUUUUAUCGAAAUAAAAUGCACCUAAAAAAAUAAA